CACACCCUCUCUACUCUCUUCUGUGCCCCCUCCAACUUACGCGCACUGCUCUCACAUUUUUUCCCUUCCCAUUAAAAACCCUAGAAAUCAAAUGCGAGUUGAGGGAAAGGAAGGGUUUGUCUUCGGUUUCGUCGGCUAAGAUAUUCAAAGAAGUAUAUGAGAAAAAGGAGGCACACUUGGUUGGGAAGAGAAGAGACCCAGCUCUGUCGUGUUGCCAUCUCAAAGCAAUCAGGCAGGCCCGGGAUAACGGUUGAGUAAUAAAAGCCCACAAAACGCUCUACAAUCAAAAUAGAAUCGAACCCGAGGCCUCCAUUAGAGAAGUACUUGAGAAAGAUUUGAGUGCUCAGCUCUCUUUUAUCUCCAACGCUCUUCAAACAGUGAGCAUAUAUACGCCUUUGCUGGGUGAACGCUAAGUGCUCCAGUGCUCGAUCCUGUUUCACUCACCUGUGGCCAUAUAUUCUAUUUUAUGUGUUGCUGUUCUGCUGGAUCCAUGUCGAUUUUCAAUGGGCUAAAGACUGUGGAUCCUAAAGCAAAAUGUCCCUUUAUGUCAACAGGGUAGGGUCUACAAACUUUUUGGCUGGGAGUACAGGAAACCUGAAAGGGUUCCUCCUGCUUGUCCUUACAAGCCUGUGAACAAGAAGGAUAUUUAAGUUCUGUACCCAUACUUCUUGUUUGCAGUGUGACAUGCAAAACCAAUGCUGAAAAAGCGACAGCUUAUCUUAUUUCUGUAGUGGAACAUUGAGCUUUAAGCUCAAGCCUAUUGCGAAUGGUCAGUAGAUGUUGUGAAGGUUGAUUUUGUUCCCUAACUUUCCAUGUAUAUCUGGUAUCAAUAGACACUUCAAUUCCACACAUGUAUGUCUAGGUAUCCAUCAUAACUCUUGAAUUUUGUAGGUCUUCUACAAGAUCUUU